rnacentral:rRNA from 1 species
UGGGGAAUUUUGCGCAAUGGGCGAAAGCCUGACGCAGCGACGCCGCGUGAGGGAAGAAGGUUUUCGGAUCGUAAACCUCUGUCGGGGGGGAAGAAACUCCCGGUGGCUAACAUCCAUCGGGAUUGACGGUACCCCCUAAGGAAGCAUCGGCUAACUACGUGCCAGCAGCCGCGGUAAUACGUAGGAUGCAAGCGUUGUUCGGAAUUAUUGGGUGUAAAGGGCGCGUAGGUGGCCUGAUAAGUCAUGGGUGAAAUCCCUCGGCUCAACUGAGGAAUUGCCCAUGAUACUGUCGGGCUUGAGUACGGGAGAGGGAAGUGGAAUUCCUGGUGUAGCGGUGAAAUGCGUAGAUAUCAGGAGGAACACCGGUGGCGAAGGCGGCUUCCUGGACCGAUACUGACAC